UACGUAGGUGGCAAGCGUUGUCCGGAAUUACUGGGUGUAAAGCGCGUGUAGGCGGGAGGCCAAGUCUGCUGUGAAAUCGCUCGGCUCAACUGGGCGGGGUCGGUGGAAACUGGUCACCUGGAGGACGGUAGAGGCGAGUGGAAUUCCCGGUGUAGUGGUGAAAUGCGUAGAUAUCAGGAGGAACACCUGCGGUGUAGACGGCUUACUGGACCAUAACUGACGCUGAGGCACGAAAGCGUGGGGAGCGAACAGG
rnacentral:rRNA from 1 species